GAGGGUCACAAGGCCUCCUACUGCUCUUAACCAACCCGCGUACUUGCCGGAAAUCAUGUCUCUGCCUCGGCAGCGGCCCCAGGGGGGGCCAGCAGCCCGCCCUGUCGCUCGCGCGGCGGUGGCGGGUGCUGCCGGCGGCGCCUAAACCAGACAACAUUGCGAAUGCAACCUAUUUACAAACCUGUUA
rnacentral:misc_RNA from 1 species